rnacentral:rRNA from 1 species
AGAGUUUGAUCCUGGCUCAGAUUGAACGCUGGCGGCAGGCUUAACACAUGCAAGUCGAGCGGGGAAAGGUAGCUUGCUACCUGACCUAGCGGCGGACGGGUGAGUAAUACUUAGGAAUCUGCCUAUUAGUGGGGGACAACGUUUCGAAAGAGACGCUAAUACCGCAUACGCCCUACGGGGGAAAGCAGGGGAUCACUUGUGACCUUGCGCUAAUAGAUGAGCCUAAGUCGGAUUAGCUAGUUGGUGGGGUAAAGGCCUACCAAGGCGACGAUCUGUAGCGGGUCUGAGAGGAUGAUCCGCCACACUGGGACUGAGACACGGCCCAGACUCCUACGGGAGGCAGCAGUGGGGAAUAUUGGACAAUGGGGGAAACCCUGAUCCAGCCAUGCCGCGUGUGUGAAGAAGGCCUUAUGGUUGUAAAGCACUUUAAGCGAGGAGGAGGCUCCUAUAGAUAAUACCUAUAGUGAGUGGACGUUACUCGCAGAAUAAGCACCGGCUAACUCUGUGCCAGCAGCCGCGGUAAUACAGAGGGUGCAAGCGUUAA